rnacentral:rRNA from 1 species
CUACGCUGCGAUAAGCCGUGGGGAGCUGCGAAGAAGCUUUGAUCCGCGGAUUUCCGAAUGGGGAAACCCACCUUCGAUAGCCGGAACUCCAAGACCUUGUGUCUUGGUGUUCGACCAGAAAUGAUCGGGACCAUAACCCUAGAGGUUUUGGAUUUCCGGUUAUCAAGAGAAGGUAUGAGACUUCUGAAUACAUAGGAGGUUUCAAGCAAACCCAGGGAACUGAAACAUCUAAGUACCUGGAGGAAAGGACAUCAACAGAGACUCCGUUAGUAGUGGCGAGCGAACGCGGACCAGGCCAGUGAUACAUCAGAGACAAUCGGAACCAGUCAGGAAAGCUGGGCCUCAGAGGGUGAUAGCCCCGUACGAGUAAUGCGAUGAUGUAUCCACGAGUAAGGCGGGACACGUGCAAUCCUGUCUGAACACGGGGGGACCACCCUCCAAGCCUAAGUACUCCUCAGCGACCGAUAGC